AUAAAUAUAAGGAAACAACUGAGCGCCGAGAAUCAAAUCCACCUUCCCAGGAACAUUCCAGGAGAAUCCAAAUUACGAAAAGAAGGACAACUAUACAGAGCGUGUUUAGUACCAUGACAACAGGGACAUUUUUCCUGUGCCAUAGUCACACCGUUAUCACUCUGAACAACCAAUGAGGUUUCACCAGUCGGGACGAUCCCAGCAGUAACAUUAAGGGCAUUGUGAGUCAAUUUACCUAUUAAAUAUUGCACACGCUGAGAAUCUGACAAUUGAGUGUUAUUAUGAAUAUUUGACUUGAACGACUCAUAAAACAUAGGCCAGUGUUCGGUACGUCCAUCAAAACUAGGAAUCUCGAUGGCAGGAAGCUUUAUAAAACC